UCUGGUUGAUCCUGCCGGAGGCUACCGCUAUUGGAGUUCGAUUAAGCCAUGCGAGUCGCGAGAAAUUAGAUUCUCGGCGUACCGCUCAGUAACACGUGGGUAACCUGCCCUAUGCUGGAUAAUAACCUCGGGAAACUGAGAAUAAUGAUCCAUAGUUCACUACGCCUGGAACGGUGAGUGGAUGAAAGCUCCGGCGGCAUAGGAUGGGCCUGCGGCGUAUCAGGUUGUAGGGGGUGUAACGUACCCUCUAGCCCUCUACGCGUACGGGUGUUGGGAGACAUAGCCCGGAGAUGGAUUCUGAGACACGAAUCCAGACCCUACGGGGUGCAGCAGGCGCGAAAACUUGGCAAUGCGAGAAAUCGUGACCAGGGAACUCCAAGUGCAUCGGGUAAGACCGGUGCUUUUCUUGACUCUAAAAAGGUCUUGGAAUAAGGGGUGGGUAAGGACGGUGCCAGCCGCCGCGGUAAUACCGGCGCCUCAAGUGGUAGUCGCUUUUAUUGGGCCUAAAACGUCCGUAGCCGGUCUGAUACAUUCGUGGGUAAAUCAACCAGCUCAACUGGUUGAAUUCUGCGAGGACGGUCAGACUUGGGACCGGGAGAGGUGUGGGGUACGCUCAGGGUAGGGGUAAAAUCCUGUCAUCCUGAGCGGACCACCUGUUGCGAAGGCGCCACACUAGAACGGAUCCGACGGUCAGGGACGAAGCCUAGGGGCACGAACCGGAUUAGAUACCCGGGUAGUCCUAGGUGUAAACGCUGUGGACUUGAUG
rnacentral:rRNA from 1 species